GCCACUUCCCCGGAGCCUGGAUGAGUUCCGACUUCUGGGUGGAAACCUCAAGGAUGAGCAGUUGGGGAGGCUCGUCAGGUCUCUGUGGGAACCGGGCCAUGGAGGGACCUAUCUCCACAUGUUUCCACGAGUGACGGAGACGAAGCUGUCCCGAAACACCACUGGGUCCCUGGAGAUUGAGUCAGGAGGUGCCGCCCUCCACAGUCUGCAAAGGCAUGCCAUCCGGGCACCACCAUGUAUUACUUCCGUCAAAGGCUCAAGGAAAGGUGGUUCCUAGAAGAGCAAUGUCAGGCCCAGGAGGAGUUGUGAAAGGUGACCCAACAAGGCACAGCGCACUCUGAGAGGCCGAUGGAUGAGUCCCUCCCUUGUAGCCAAGCUCACAGACAAAAGCUCCCCAUGGCCUGAUCCCAGCCUCCUGUGUGACUCCCUGCCAGAACAAAAGAUGAAUACAUAACCUGACUUGGUUUCAAGUGGAUACAAUGUGUUUGUCGUCCUUCAAGGGUGAGUUACAUGUACCUCAUCUCGUGACUUUUUUCAAGACAAGACAUGUUUUUCUACCUUCAUGCUACUGAAAAUAUG